rnacentral:rRNA from 1 species
AACAAACGCUGGCGGCGUGUCUUAAGCAUGCAAGUUGAGCGGCAAGGAGGAGAGAUCCUCCCUAGAGCGGCGGACUGGUGAGUAACGCGUGGGUAAUCUAUCUUAGGCAUGGGGAUAGUCACUAGAAAUAGUGGGUAAUACCGAAUAAGUUCCAUAAGGGGAGGACUUAUGGAAGAAAGGUGCUACGGCACUGGCCUUAGGUGAGCUCGCGUCCCAUUAGCUAGUUGGUGAGGUAAAGGCCCACCAAGGCGAUGAUGGGUAGCCGGCCUGAGAGGGUGUACGGCCACACUGGGACUGAGAUACGGCCCAGACUCCUACGGGAGGCAGCAGCUAAGAAUAUUCCGCAAUGGACGGAAGUCUGACGGAGCGACGCCGCGUGGAUGAAGAAGGCCGAAAGGUUGUAAAGUUCUUUUGCUAGGGGAGAAUAAGUGUGGGAGGGAAUGCCUGCACGAUGACAAGGACUAGCGAAUAAGUCCCGGCCAACUACGUGCCAGCAGCCGC